CUGUGACACAACACUGUUGAAAUUAGGCCAAUUAAUAACUCUGCAAUGACCUCAGAGGUCAACAAUCAGCCUUCAGAUGGUUCAAAUUAGUCAACAUAGAUCAGAGCUGAACCCAUGCCCUAGAAGUGAACGUAACUUCUCCUGUGAGAAAUCACCUGGCAGCGGGCUACAAGAAUGCCCUUUACUGAAGGAAUAUAGAAAGGAAGUGAUGAACGCAAAAGGGUAUAAAUCAUUCACCUUUAUUAUUUUGAAUGUCUCCUUUCCACAAAAUAUAGUCACAAAUGAGUCCUAUAACAAUCUGAAUGAGGGCUAGGAAAUUAAAGUGGAAAAUUAACACCGUUGGGAUUGGAAAGCAAAGAAACUCUGAGGAUAGCUAGACAACUGUCAGAAGUAAUUCUUCAGUAAUUUUACCCAAACUAAGCUUCAGCUCUAUUUACUGCAAACUCAGCAGAACAUGAUCAAUCUGGAUAACCUCACAUACUUUUUACUAGAGAUGACACCAAUUUUGUGAAAAAGUAUAUUUCCAAAACCAACUGAACCAGCUUCAAAGAAAAAAAUUAAGUUAUUGCUACCAAGCUAACAAAAUCUGGAGUUGUAUGCGCUGUCCUGUUGGAAGUAGAAGAAUUUAUGGUGACAAAAAUGGAUCCUGACAUUCAGCUUUUUCCUUAGUGAAGAAAAAAAUGUGUCUCUGAUUUUUUUCAACCACAUUGUAUUUUGACUGAAUUCCUUGGCUUUAAGUGUACGUUAGUACAGAAAUAUUUCAUAUGUCAUUUAAAUGGCACGAAGACUUGGAAGCAACUUAACAGAUAACACACAGACCUCAAUGUCAAAGCCUCUCAAACCAUAUAAAAUAUGUUUCUUAUAGAAGAUGAGGAUCUAUUUCUUUUUUUGCUUCUUUACUUUGUUUACUUCUAAUACCAUUUUCAAUGAAAAUUAUAAGUACCAGAUAAUAAUGUAAUACAAUGGCUUAUGUGUUCUCUUUUACAGUUGUUUUAUUAACUCUGGAACUGGGUCCUUUGCUUCAAUAGAGGUAAAGUUAAAACCUGAAGAUGUUCUCUUGUAAGGGAAAAGGGUAGAGUGUCUGCCAUUUGGCACUAAUGAUAUUUGGGGCCAGAUAACUCUUUGUUGUGAAGUGCUACUGUUUAGCAGCAUUCUUGACCUCUACCGCUAGACGCCAGAAGUACUCUCCCAACUCCUAACCGUGACAAUUGAAAAUGUCUCCAGAUAUUGCCAAAUGUCCCAUGGGGGUAAAAUCUAUCCUAGUUGGAAAUGACUGGACUAGAGGAAUUAUCAUUUGAGAAGGCUGGGUGCAGUGGCUCUCCUCUAUAAUCCCAGCACUUUGGGAGGCUGAGGUGGUGGAUCAUGAGGUCAGGAGUUCAAGACCAGCCUGGUCAACAUGGUGAAACCCCGUCUCUACUAAAAAUACAAAAAUUAGCUGUGCGUGGUGGCAGGCACCUGUAAUCCCAGCUACUCCGGAGGCUGAGGCAGAUAAUUGCUUGAACCCAGGAGGUGGAGGUUGCAGGGGGCCGAGAUCCCGCCAUUGCACUCCAGCCUGGGCGACAGAACAAGACUCUGUCUCAAAAAGCAAACAAACAAACAAACAGAAACAUCAUUCUGGACAUAAGGUCUAACAGAAACAGAGGAGUUAAAGUAAGAAAUAAAAUCGCCAUACUGAUCUAGGAU
rnacentral:lncRNA from 10 species